rnacentral:rRNA from 1 species
GACGAACGCUGGCGGCGUGCUUAACACAUGCAAGUCGAACGGAAAGGCCCCUUCGGGGGUACUCGAGUGGCGAACGGGUGAGUAACACGUGAGUAACCUGCCCUUGACUUCGGGAUAACUUCAGGAAACUGGGGCUAAUACCGGAUAGGAAUCCUUGCUGCAUGGUGGGGGUUGGAAAGCUUCGGCGGUUUUGGAUGGACUCGCGGCUUAUCAGCUUGUUGGUGGGGUAGUGGCUUACCAAGGCUUUGACGGGUAGCCGGCCUGAGAGGGGGACCGGCCACAUUGGGACUGAGAUACGGCCCAGACUCCUACGGGAGGCAACAGUGGGGAAUAUUGCACAAUGGGCGGGAGCCUGAUGCAGCAACGCCGCGUGCGGGAUGACGGCCUUCGGGUUGUAAACCGCUUUCAGCAGGGGCGGAGCUUGUGGUGACGGUACCUGCAGAAGAAGCACCGGCUAACUACGUG